rnacentral:lncRNA from 1 species
UGAGUGCACUGGUCAAUAGGCUUAUUAGCUAAGGAUUCACUUACACCAACUAUUGUACCCUCUGUUUAGGGGUUCACUGAUGCCAACCAUAUACCCGCUGGCUAGGGUUGACCAAUUUUACACCUGAUGGUUAGGUGUUCACUGAAAGCAAAAUGCCAACAGAGUCAAUAUAGAUAUUAAAAGAAACAAAUUGACAUAUUAAUCCAGCAAUCAUAAUAUAGAGAUGCAGAAUAUAUUUACAAAAAUCUAAUAGAAAAUUAAACAAUAUCAACAUUCAGCAAUAUGCAGAAUAAAGGAUAAUUGAGUAGAAAUAGAAGAGGAAGACGAGAGAAAUUGAUAGAAAUAGAAAGAAAAGAGGGAGGAGGAAAGAAGGAAAUCCAGCCAAACCUGGCUCUUGUCUUCAGAUGGAAAAAUCACAUACUCCAUUGUUUUAUGAAUGACCUAAAAAGUCACAUUAUAUAAACUAAUUAACAGCUGACCUUUCUUAAUUUUGAGUCCAAUUAGGACUCAAUUACAUCAGCCAAUAACUUUUCCCAAAUUUCCUCGAUGCCCCAACUAGUUAGCUACUUGUGUGGCACUUAUAAAGUUAUAGUGACCCCUAAUGACCCCUGGUAUUGUAGCACAGCACUGAUCAUGCUAUGGUGAUGUGAACAGUAACAAAUCCCUUAAUUUGAUCAAAAUACUCUUCCUAAACUACCCCUAAACUCAAUUAAAUGCCAA